rnacentral:tRNA from 1 species
CCUCUGGUGGUCGAGUGACUAAGACUCCAUGCUCCCAAUGCGGAGGGCCUGGGUUCAAUCCCUGGUCAGGGAA